UACGUAGGGUGCGAGCGUUGUCCGGGAUUAUUGGGCGUAAAGGGCUCGUAGGCGGUUUGUCGCGUCGGGAGUGAAAACCUCGGGCUUAACUCGGGGCUUGCUUUCGAUACGGGCAGACUGGAGGUAUGCAGGGGAGAACGGAAUUCCUGGUGUAGCGGUGAAAUGCGCAGAUAUCAGGAGGAACACCGGUGGCGAAGGCGGUUCUCUGGGCAUGACCUGACGCUGAGGAGCGAAAGUGUGGGGAGCGAACAGG
rnacentral:rRNA from 1 species